rnacentral:lncRNA from 1 species
CCAUAUCCAACGGAUCUAAACUGAACCCCUAUCCCCUUUAAAUUUGUGCGAAUAACCCUCUAACCCCUCAGAACCCUCUCAUCUCUCCAUCUCUCUCAACUCAGCGAAAACCUAAACCGCUCUAAAAAUCAUCACCGGUGGACACUUCCCCAAACAACCAAAAAUCUUUACCCUACACUCCCCAUUCCCUAGAUCCUAAUCUAUAAUCCCCUACCGAUUUUCCCAGAAACCUCCCCAAUAUCCUUUAAUUUCAAAUCUAAAAAAUAACCAGAAACCCUAAUCUCCUUUGCUCAAUUAUUCAAGAUUCCCAAGAUCGAUUCGACCUGAAAAUUUGUGUUAAUCACUGUUCUCAAUGAGAACAUUCGAUUAACACUAGUUUCGGCUCAUCUCGAAGAAUGCCGGAAUCCGUUCAAGUCGGCCAUUUUUUUUCCUACACUGUGUGCUCUUUAGGUAUAUUUCUGUUCUUCCUUUUUUUCCUUUUUCUCUUUUCUUUCUUCCUCUCUUAUGCUCAGAAUGCACUUAGCCAAAUCGUUUAAUUGAGGUCGUCUGUUAAUUAUGAUUUGGUCGCAUUAAGCAGUGUUUAGUUUAACUUUAAUUACCCUUAGUUGAAAUUGCUAAAUUGUUGUUUAAAUUGAUAGUAAUUUGAUGAUUGUUAGGAUAUUAUUCUACUUGUCUAAAUUAAUUAAUUACAUAAUUAGUAGUUCAAUUACAUAUUAAUAGGUUUAAUUGCCUAAGUUUAAUGAAUUGUAAUUGGUUUGGUUUCUGUAUUGGUAUUUUUGUUUAAAGUUGUAUGUCCUUUGGGUGUGGUUAUUUGCAAUUACAUAAUUUUCAGGAGACUAAAGGGCACACCAAAAUUAGGGAUCUGAGUUGGUUAUGUGGGAAACUUCUAGAAAAGGUCAAAAUACAAUAAGACUAAUAAAAUUAGGUCAGAUUUGGGUAAAAGGGGUUAAUUUCAAAAGUUAAGGAGGCUAAAAAAUGUAGGGGAAUAUCUGAAUGGACAGUUGUCCUGUUCAAUUUCAAAAGAUGCUCUUUUCUUGAAAUUUAGGGACUGCAUUCUUAGAAUUAUUCCCUUUCAUUUGGGCACAUGACAACUUUCAUUUCUCUAUAUAAGACCUCAUAUCUUCACACACGCACACACACGACUCUCUGCAAUUCAGAAUUCCCCCUUUCAUUCUCUCGCUGAUCUUUACACUGAUUUCUGAAAACCCACUGUCCUUCACUUUCAUUUUUAGGAAAGAAAAUUUCUGGAAAACCAACUUUAAGAUUUCAGAAACAAAAAAGAACUAAAGGCUUCAUAAUUUGCUUCAUUAUCAAAUAGCUGUUUUUCCAAGUUCUAGGUUCAAAGUUUGGUUGAGCUACAUUCUCUGCUUGUUUGCUAUUGUUUUAUCGAGCUGUAGCUGACUCUAUUUCUAGAUGUGCUUCUCAAAAUCAAAGGCUUAUUUUUUUUGAUAACUAAAUAUUUUUAUUUAUCACCAAAGAAACUGUACAAAAUCGUAGCCAACUAACACAAUUAGCUAACCAAGUAACUGUUCCACUACUAUAUGAUCUAAGAGAACUUUUCUAGAAUCUAAACAUAAGAACUUCUUUCCUAAUUCUAGUUGGAGCUCUCACACUACAAACACAAGCAAUAUCUCUAGCUAAUGACUCAUUAUUUCUAUACACAUUCUCAAAAAUUCUCACAUUUCUUUCGAUCCAAAUGCUAUGGACAUAUUCCGUGUAUAUCAUCUUGAAAAUCUAUGCAGCUUGAUAUCUCCCCUUUGAUAUAUUAACAAUCUCUUGUUGAUGUUGUUGCCAUCCCAGUGUAUUCAUUGUCAUCCUUGUGCCCAGUGAAGCACUCUAUGCCAUACUUCUUUGGCAAAUUCGUAUUCCAGGAAGAGGUGCUCGUUAAUUUCCUCUGAGCUUUGGCACAUCACACAUUGAGUGUUUAUCUCACUCCCCAUUUGGUUAAUCUAUCAGCAGUUAGUAGCCUGCCCUACAGUUGCAACCAUAGCAUAAAUCUUGCUUUUGGUCGAGCAGUAUUGGCGAACAUCAUGCAUUUCCAUGGCACUCUAGCUUCCUCUCCUAUAAGUUGUAUGUAUAUUUGCCUUGUGAUACUCUUUCCAGUUUGAAAUUGCAUUGCAUUUCCUCCAGUGUAGACCUUUCUUCCAUAAUCUUCCGAACCAUCCAGCAUGCCUGUUGAGGUAUAGCCACAGAGUUUAUUGAUUGACCUUUAAUAUAAUAUGUGUGUAUCCAUUUGAUCUAUAGUUUAUCCUAUUUGUGUGCUAGAUCCUAGUAGGUCUUUGCUAUAGCCGCUUUAUUCCAAAGGUGUAAAUUUGUCAGGUUAAGGCCACCUAUACUUUUUGGAGCACAAACUUUAUCCCAAGAAACCAGAGCUUUCUUGGUGAUGGUAUUGCGGCCUGACUAUAUGGAGUUUCUACAAUAGGCAUCAAUAGUCUUUAGGACUGUAGCAGGUAGCACAAACAGUUAGGCCCAGUAGGCUUGCACACCAAAUAAAAUAGUUUGGACAAGUUGAAUUCUUUCUAUAUAGGAUAGUUUCUUUACAAUCUAUGAUGAGAUCUUUGCCACUAUCUUCUCUAUAAGAGGUUGCCACUGUAUUAGGGAAAGUUUCUUGGUCGGUAGUGGAACCCCAAGAUAUUUAAAUGGUAGUUCACCUUUAGAGAAACUCAGUUCAUGUUAGAUUCUUUCUCUGUCAUCUCUGCUCACUCUACCAAAGUAUAUUGAACUUUCCCCUAAGUUUGCUUUUAGAUCCGAGGCUUCAGAAAAUUGAUUAAAGCAAUGAUCUAGUGCAGUCAUUGAUGUGAUUUCACCUCUGGCAAAGAGCAAUAGAUCAUCUGCAAAACACAAGUGUGUGAUUUCUAGCUUUGAACAUCUCGGAUGAUAAUGAAAAUCUGCCAUAUUUAUCAUUCCUUUCAGGCUCCUACUCAAGUAUUCCAUUGCAAUGGCAAAGAGGAAAGGAGACAUGAGAUCUCCUUAUUUGGGUCCUUUAGCGGCAUUGAAAGGUUCUGAUGGUUCACCAUUAAUUAAUAUACUAUAAGUGAUUGUUUGCGUACACUCUAGGACCCAUAUGAUGAAUUGUGCAAGAAAUCCUAGUUCCGCCAUGAUCUGCUUCAAGUAUAUCCACUCCACUGGACCAUAAGCUUUUUAAAAAUCUAUCUUUAUCAUGCAUAUUGAAGAUACAUACUUUCUUGUGUAAGACUUCACCAGUUCAUGUGAUAAGAUGAUAUUAUCCUAAAUCUUUUUCCCAAGUAUAAAGCCUGUUUGUGCUUCACUGAUAAUGGAUGCAAUGACCUUCUGGAUUCUUGCUGCUAUGACUUUAGAGAUCAAUUUAUACAGGAUUGUGCAACGAGCUAUUGGUCUGUAUUCCUUAACUAUUGUAGGAUUAUCACUCUUUGGCAGUAGAGGCUUAUUUUAUUUUUGCUUAGUUGUUUCUAAGGGACUGACUGAUCUCCCAGAAUGUAAUCCUACUUUGAAUUAAUGAAAUAUUUGAUAUAAUUACAAUUGCUUUGUUGUUUGUUUGGAACUGAUGUCAUGGUGUGCUGGUUUUUAUGCUUAAUAUGUAUGAAUCUGUCUUUUAAGUUGUGUGAUUGUUGUUCCAAUAUGGAAAUGAUAUAAACAUGUAGUAGAUGUUUCUUCAUGUAUUCACAAUAUUCUGCCAUGCUACUUGCCAAUUUGACUUAACUUUAAUUUAUUCUGAUGGAAUUAACCUAGGCCUGUGUGAAAGUUACUUGAUUAUUUUGUUUCCAAAUAAUCACUGAAAUUCUCAUUGAGUUGUAAUUAAUCUAGUGUUCAAUUUGGUUUAAACAGAUCUAGAAGUUUCUAAAUAGAUAUGAAAGACGACUGUUUGUUGUAGUAGUUAAUUCUGAGUUGGAUAGUGAUCUAGCCUAGGAUUUAAUAAUUUUGCUAUAAUAUUGAUAAGUUGUAUGUUAAGUCAUUUGAAACUGGUCCUGUAAUAAUGUUUUUUUUGUGUUGUUUAAAUUUGCGAAUGUAAGUUCUUCAGAAUUACAGUCUGCAUGUAUUUUCAUAUUCAUUCUGGCCCUGAUAAUGAUUUGGACCAGUUGAAAUGAUUUUUAGUGGCUAAGGACUUCAGGUCUGUCUAAUAAAAGCAUGCACGUAGUGCAAUUGGGCCAGCCAUUUAGACCCAUUGCUGUCAGAAGCCGGUCAAA